rnacentral:rRNA from 1 species
AUUGAACGCUGGCGGCAGGCCUAACACAUGCAAGUCGAACGGUAACAGGAAGAAGCUUGCUUCUUUGCUGACGAGUGGCGGACGGGUGAGUAAUGUCUGGGAAACUGCCUGAUGGAGGGGGAUAACUACUGGAAACGGUAGCUAAUACCGCAUAACGUCGCAAGACCAAAAAGGGGGACCUUCGGGCCUCUUGCCAUCGGAUGUGCCCAGAUGGGAUUAGCUAGUAGGUGGGGUAACGGCUCACCUAGGCGACGGUCCCUAGCUGGUCUGAGAGGAUGACCAGCCACACUGGAACUGAGACACGGUCCAGACUCCUACGGGAGGCAGCAGUGGGGAAUAUUGCACAAUGGGCGCAAGCCUGAUGCAGCCAUGCCGCGUGUAUGAAGAAGGCCUUCGGGUUGUAAAGUACUUUCAGCGGGGAGGAAGGGAGUAAAGUUAAUACCUUGGCUCAUUGACGUUACCCGCAGAAGAAGCACCGGCUAACUCCGUG